AUUGAACGCUGGCGGCAUGCCUUACACAUGCAAGUCGAGCGGCAGCGCGCGGGCAACCCUGGCGGCGAGCGGCGGACGGGUGAGUAAUACAUCGGAACGUGUCCUUUCGUGGGGGAUAACCAGUCGAAAGACCGGCUAAUACCGCAUGAGAUCUCACGAUGAAAGCGGGGGACCGCCAGGCCUCGCGCGAUUGGAGCGGCCGAGGUCGGAUGAGCUAGGUGGCGGGGUAAAAGCCCACCAAGGCGACGAUCCGUAGCUGGUUUGAGAGAACGACCAGCCACACUGGGACUGAGACACGGCCCAGACUCCUACGGGAGGCAGCAGUGGGGAAUUUUGGACAAUGGGGGCAACCCUGAUCCAGCCAUGCCGCGUGUGUGAAGAAGGCCUUCGGGUUGUAAAGCACUUUCGGCCGGAACGAAAUCGCGCGGAUUAAUAACCCGCGUGGAUGACGGUACCGGAAGAAGAAGCACCGGCUAACUACGUGCCAGCCGCCGCCGUAA
rnacentral:rRNA from 1 species